GACGAACGCUGGCGGCGCGCCUAACACAUGCAAGUCGAACGGAGCUGAGAGAAGCUUGCUUUUCUUAGCUUAGUGGCGAACGGGUGAGUAACGCGUGAGUAACCUGCCCUGGAGUGGGGGACAACAGUUGGAAACGACUGCUAAUACCGCAUCAGCCCAUGAUCCGGCAUCGGAUUGGGGGAAAAGGAUUUAUUCGCUUCAGGAUGGAUUCGCGUCCAAUUAGCUGGUUGGUGAGGUAACGGCCCGCCAAGGCGAGGAUUGGUACCCGGACUGUGAGGUGGAACGGCAACAUUGGGAUUGGGCCCCGACCCGAACUCCUGCGGAGGGAGGCAGUGGGGAUAUUGCACAAUGGGGGAAAACCUGAUGCAGCGACGCCGCGUGGAGGAAGAAGGUUUUCGGAUUGUACACUCCUGUCGUUAGGGGCGAUAAUGACGGUACCUAACAAGAAAGCACCGGCUAACUACGUG
rnacentral:rRNA from 1 species